UAGCGUAUAGUACCGUGAGGGAAAGGUGAAAAGAACCCCGGGAGGGGAGUGAAAUAGAACCUGAAACCCUGCACUUACAAGCUGUGGAAGCACAUUUCUUGUGUGACCGCGUACUUUUUGUAGAACGGGCCAACGAGUUACGUUAAGUAGCAAGGUUAAGCACUUAAGGUGCGGAGCCGUAGCGAAAGCGAGUUUUAACUGAGCGUUCAGUUACUUGACGUAGACCCGAAACCGGGCGACCUACCCAUGAGCAGGAUGAAGCGAAAGUAAAAUUUCGUGGAGGUCCGAACCCACGAGCGUUGAAAAGCUCGGGGAUGACUUGUGGGUAGCGGUGAAAUUCCAAUCGAGCCCGGAGAUAGCUGGUUCUCCCCGAAAUAGCUUUAGGGCUAGCCUCAAGGUGAGAGAUACGGAGGUAGAGCACUGAAUGUCCUAGGGGGUAUUGCACCUACCGAAGACUAUUAAACUCCGAAUGCCGUCAUCUUAUACUUGGGAGUCAGACUGUGGGUGAUAAGAUUCAUAGUCGAAAGGGCAACAGCCCAGAUCGUCAGCUAAGGUCCCUAAAUGUAAGUUAAGUGGUAAAGGAUGUGGGAUUGCACAGACAACCAGGAUGUUGGCUUAGAAGCAGCCACUCAUUCAAAGAGUGCGUAAUAGCUCACUGGUCGAGUGAUCCUGCGCCGAAGAUUUCCGGGGCUAAAACUUACUACCGAAGCUACGGCAUCAGUAAUGAUGGGUAGGGGAGCUUCCCAUACGGGUUGAAGCAUGACCGUAAGGACAUGUGGACAGUAUGGGAGUGAGAAUGUUGGCAUGAGUAGCGAGAUGUGGGUGAGAAUCCCACAGGCCGUAAAC
rnacentral:rRNA from 1 species